rnacentral:rRNA from 1 species
UACGUAGGGACCAAGCGUUGUCCGGAUUUAUUGGGCGUAAAGAGCUCGUAGGCGGUUAUCCACGUCGGAUGUGAAAGCUCAGGGCUCAACCCUGAGAUGCCAUUCGAUACGGGCAGGCUAGAGUCCGGCAGGGGAGACUGGAAUUCCUGGUGUAGCGGUGAAAUGCGCAGAUAUCAGGAGGAACACCGGUGGCGAAGGCGGGUCUCUGGGCCGGUACUGACGCUGAGGCACGAAAGCGUGGGGAGCAAACAGG